rnacentral:rRNA from 1 species
AUUGAACGCUGGCGGCAGGCCUAACACAUGCAAGUCGAACGAGUGGCGGACGGGUGAGUAAUGUCUGGGAAACUGCCUGAUGGAGGGGGAUAACUACUGGAAACGGUAGCUAAUACCGCAUACCAUCAGAUGUGCCCAGAUGGGAUUAGCUUGUUGGUGGGGUAACGGCUCACCAAGGCGACGAUCCCUAGCUGGUCUGAGAGGAUGAUCAGUCACACUGGAACUGAGACACGGUCCAGACUCCUACGGGAGGCAGCAGUGGGGAAUAUUGCACAAUGGGCGAAAGCCUGAUGCAGCCAUGCCGCGUGUGUGAAGAAGGUCUUCGGAUUGUAAAGUACUUUCAGUGGGGAGGCGUUACCAGCAGAAGAAGCACCGGCUAACUCCGUGCCAGCAGCCGCGGUAAUAC